UAUCAACAACAGCCAUGCAAAAAUAGAUGAAAAGGGAAGAUGGGCAACAGUCUUCGUCGAGUAAGAGAGGGACAAGUUUUAAUUGAAUGGGCAAAAAAAGAGUACAAGUAAAGGACUUGUCCUGCGAAAGAAAUUGACGCCUGAAUUUGACAAGUUAUUGCAAGAAAUCCGCAAAGAAAGUUUUUCAAACUACAUGAAGUCACAGAAAACAAUGCAAUGCAAUCAUCAUGAAGGUUUGUCUUGCCCAAAUAUGGAGACCAUUGGGAUCCAUUGCAUACUACGUGUAGAA